UAAUGACAGCACUGCAUGGGAAAGUUACAGUCUGGUGAUUCUCUACUAUAAACCCAUGUCUUUUUCAACAUCAUUGCUGCUCAGAGCACAAAACCUCUCCCGAGGAACGUGGCCAACAUACUUUCUUCAUAGAGACCAAUCUCUUAGGAGCCCAUCAAAAUCUUCACAGCUUAUCAUA